rnacentral:rRNA from 1 species
AGCGGCAGGCGCAGCAAUGCGCUGAGAGCGGCGGACUGGUGAGUAACGCGUGGGUAAUCUACCUUUGGCAUGGGGAUAGCCACUAGAAAUAGUGGGUAAUACCGAAUACGUUCCUGCUGGGGAGGAUGGCAGGAAGAAAGGGUGCUACGGCACCGGCCGAAGCUGAGCUCGCGUCCCAUUAGCUAGUUGGUGAGGUAACGGCCCACCAAGGCGAUGAUGGGUAGCCGGCCUGAGAGGGUGUACGGCCACACUGGGACUGAGAUACGGCCCAGACUCCUACGGGAGGCAGCAGCUAAGAAUAUUCCGCAAUGGACGAAAGUCUGACGGAGCGACGCCGCGUGGAUGAAGAAGGCCGAAAGGUUGUAAAGUCCUUUUGCUGGGGAAGAAUAAGUGUGGGAGGGAAUGCCCGCAUGAUGACAUGAACCGGCGAAUAAGCCCCGGCCAACUACGUGCCAGCAGCCGCGGUAACACGUAGGGGGCGAGCGUUGUUCGGAAUUACUGGGCGUAAAGGGCAUGUAGGCGGUCUGGUAAGCCUGGCGUGAAAGGCCACAGCUCAACUGUGGGAUUGCGUUGGGAACUGCUGGGCUUGAGUUAUGGAGAGGGAGCUAGAAUUCCUGGUGUAGGGGUGAAAUCUGUAGAUAUCAGGAAGAAUACCGAUGGCGAAGGCAAGCUCCUGGCCGAUGACUGACGCUGAGGUGCGAAAGUGUGGGGAUCAAACAGGAUUAGAUACCCUGGUAGUCCACACUGUAAACGAUGUGCACUAGGUGCUGGGGCGGUAGCUUCAGUGCCGGAGCGAACGUGGUAAGUGCACCGCCUGGGGAGUAUGCUCGCAAGGGGUGAAACUCAAAGGAAUUGACGGGGGCCCGCACAAGCGGUGGAGC